GAAAUAGAAUCUUUUUCUUGAAAAUCUUCCACUUUUCACACAAAGAAAAACAGAAUAUACUAAUACUAUGUGUGUCUGUAUGCAUUCAUAUCAGAAUAAUGAUUAAAAAAAACAGCAUCCAUUUUUUGUAAACAAACAUUUUCUAUUUUCCAGACGCCUCAAAGACAAAUUUUUAAAAUCUAAACUCUAUUAAAAGACAAAUCCAUUCUGCCAAAUCACAGAUCUUAUUUGCCUCCUAAAUUGCUACUUAAAGGAGCAAUAUGUAAAAUGGGUACUGCAGUCCAAAUUCUAAACAUUGUAGAGAGCGGUCUCCCCCCGCCCCCUCCUCUCUAGAGUUGAUGCUCACGCAGGUUGUCAUGUCGCAGACACUGAAGCUUCAGUGUUUAGCCAGCUCUGCAUCGGUCUGUAAACCUUUCUGCGUCCAUCCUCUCUGUCUUUAGCCUGCUCCACUUUUCAGAAAAUGUGUGCUCAAACAUGCCGUUUGGAGAUUUCCCUUCAUGACAUCACAAAGGGCAGUAGCCCCUCCCCCAGGUGGGUGACACUCCCACAGCUAGUUGUUUGUUCUGCCCUCUGAGUCUGCCUUCUCACUGUAAACAAUAGGGCAUGGAGCGAGAAAGCCAGAGACACCCAAGCCCUUCCAGAGAGGGGGUGUGGUCAGACACAGCUCAUUUACAUUUAAAGGUACAGACACAGAAACAGCCUGUUCUGAGCAGGGCUGAAAUAGAGGGGUUUAUAGGUAUGAUCAAAUACAGGAUCAGAGUGGAUUUAGGACAAGAAACUUCACACACAUGUUUUGAGGAACUCUGAGACUUAUUUAAACUGGAGGAGAAUAUGUGACCUUUAACCCUUUAAGAUGUUUGUAUUUUCCUCACAGUUUUCUGCUUCUGUCUUCUGUGAAGUGACUUUUUUAUUCCGAUACAUAAAAGGCGUCAUAUUUUUAUGAACUACUCAACAUGUUCUUUAUUCAGAACUUGUCUUUUUCAUGUUUCCUGACUGAUGUCCGCACAGAGUUCCACUGAGAAGACGAAGUUAUGACAGAUUUUGGUAAUAGAUUCUGGAUUGUUUGUCUCUUGUUUUGUCUCAAGUUUGAGUUUGUUGUGCACUUUCUUUGCAGAGAAAUAUCAGGUCAGUAUGUCAUCUUUCCUUCAUGUUUUGAUUCUUAUGUCACCUUGAAAAGUCUGAAAAUGUUCCACAAACACAGUUGAAUCUUUUAAAUAAAGUUUUUUUCCAGCA